GGGUGCAAACGUUGCUCGGAAUCAUUGGGCGUAAAGCGCACGUAGGCGGUUCGUUAUGUCGGAUGUGAAAGCCCUUGGCUUAACCGAGGAAGUGCAUCCGAAACUGGCGAGCUAGAGUACGAAAGAGGAUCGCGGAAUUCCCGGUGUAGAGGUGAAAUUCGUAGAUAUCGGGAGGAACACCGGUGGCGAAGGCGGCGAUCUGGGUCGAUACUGACGCUGAGGUGCGAAAGCGUGGGGAGCAAACAGG
rnacentral:rRNA from 1 species